AAUCUUGCGCAAGGGACGAAAGUCUGACGUAGCAACGCCGCGUGAGUGAAGAAGGAUUACGGUAAGAAAAACUCGGUUGUUAGAAAAAAAUAAGGAUGAGAGUAACUGCUCGUCCCUUGACGGUAUCUAACUAGAAAGCCAUGGCUAACUACGUGCCAGCAGCCGCGGUAAUACGUAGAUGGCAAGCGUUGUCCGGAUUUAUUGGGCGUAAAGCGAGCGCAGGCGGUUCUUUAAGUCUGAUGUGAAAGCCCCUGGCUCAACCAGGGAGGGUCAUUGGAAACUGGAGAACUUGAGUGCAGAAGAGGAAAGUGGAAUUCCAUGUGUAGCGGUGAAAUGCGUAGAUAUAUGGAGGAACACCAGUGGCGAAGGCGACUUUCUGGUCUGUAACUGACGCUGAGGCUCGAAAGCAUGGGGAGCAAAC
rnacentral:rRNA from 1 species